rnacentral:SRP_RNA from 1 species
GCCAGGCAUGGUGGCAGGUGCCUGUAGUCCCAGCUACUUGGAGGCUGAGAUGGGAGGAUCACUUGGCCACAGGAGUUCGAGACUGCAGUGAGCUAUGAUCGUGCCACUGCACUCCAGCCUGGGUGACAGAGUGACACCCCAUCUCAA